rnacentral:rRNA from 1 species
UACGUAGGGUGCGAGCGUUAAUCGGAAUUACUGGGCGUAAAGCGUGCGCAGGCGGUUUUGUAAGCCAGAUGUGAAAGCCCCGGGCUCAACCUGGGAAUUGCAUUGGAAACUAGCGGGCUGGAGUGUGGCAGAGGGGGGUGGAAUUCCACGUGUAGCAGUGAAAUGCGUAGAGAUGUGGAGGAACACCGAUGGCGAAGGCAGCCCCCUGGGCUAACACUGACGCUCAUGCACGAAAGCGUGGGGAGCAAACAGG